rnacentral:rRNA from 1 species
CCUUCGGGUUGUAAACCGCUUUCGCCUGUGACGAAGCGUGAGUGACGGUAAUGGGUAAAGAAGCACCGGCUAACUACGUGCCAGCAGCCGCGGUGAUACGUAGGGUGCGAGCGUUGUCCGGAUUUAUUGGGCGUAAAGGGCUCGUAGGUGGUUGAUCGCGUCGGAAGUGUAAUCUUGGGGCUUAACCCUGAGCGUGCUUUCGAUACGGGUUGACUUGAGGAAGGUAGGGGAGAAUGGAAUUCCUGGUGGAGCGGUGGAAUGCGCAGAUAUCAGGAGGAACACCAGUGGCGAAGGCGGUUCUCUGGGCCUUUCCUGACGCUGAGGAGCGAAAGCGUGGGGAGCGAACAGGCUUAGAUACCCUGGUAGUCCACGCUGUAAACGGUGGGUACUAGGUGUGGGGUCCAUUCCACGGGUUCCGUGCCGUAGCUAACGCUUUAAGUACCCCGCCUGGGGAGUACGGCCGCAAGGCUAAAACUCAAAG